GCACAAGCGGUGGAGCAUGUGGUUUAAUUUGAAGAUACGCGUAGAACCUUACCCACUCUUGACAUCUUCUGCAAAGCUAUAGAGAUAUAGUGGAGGUUAACAGAAUGACAGAUGGUGCAUGGUUGUCGUCAGCUCGUGUCGUGAGAUGUUAGGUUAAGUCCUGCAACGAGCGCAACCCUUUUCUUUAGUUACUAAUAUUAAGUUAAGGACUCUAGAGAUACUGCCUGGGUAACCAGGAGGAAGGUGGGGACGACGUCAAAUCAUCAUGCCUCUUACGAGUGGGGCAACACACGUGCUACAAUGGUCGGUACAAAGAGAAGCAAUAUGGUGACAUGGAGCAAAUCUCAAAAAACCGAUCUCAGUUCGGAUUGAAGUCUGCAACUCGACUUCAUGAAGUCGGAAUCGCUAGUAAUCGUAGAUCAGCUACGCUACGGUGAAUACGUUCUCGGGUUUUGUACACACCGCCCGUCGCACCAUGGGAGUUGGUAAUGCCCAAAGUCGGUGAGUUAACUUCGGAGACCAUUGCCUAAGGCAGGACUGAUGACUGGGGUGAAGUCGUAACAAGGUAUCCCUACGAGAACGUGGGGAUGGAACACCUC
rnacentral:rRNA from 1 species